ensembl:lncRNA
ACAAAACAAACAAGAGUACAAACAAUGCAGGGAAGACGACAAUCCAAGAUGGUGACGGUGAGUAAUCCAGAUGGUGAUGGUGAGUGGGCAGCAGGAGAGGAUGGCACAGGAACUGCGGGGAAUCGAGACGAAGGUAAGGUAGUGAUGCUUGUGCGAAGAGUGGAUGUGGUUCCGGGGGAAGACACGGACAUCCAACGCAGAACAACACAGAAGCAAAGAACAUUACCAACAUGCAACAACGCUCUCACAAACACAAGACGUGAGACAAGCCAUAUAUAUAGGGAGAGGGUAAUGAGUGACAGCUGCUGCUGAUGACAAUUAACGGAGACGCCCACAAGCUAAUCAGUGCAGACGCGAAACACACAGACUUCACCACAAAGUGCAAAACCCAGAGAUCAUGGUUUACCAACCAUGACAGUGUUUCACUGAAAGCAAAACUACUUUGUUUGGCUUUCCAAAAGAGGACAAUAUCCACUUCGUCAUGCCUGGGGCUGAUCGGUGCUGGUCGCUGAGGAAAUACAUUAACUUUGCACUGUGGAUCGCCGAAUCGUCUUUCACCGUGGACAAAGCCAGCCCGGGGUCGUCACAUGUAGUUGCUGCAAGACCAAGGUAUGCUCCUACGUAGAAUCCGCCUGCCGCACCAUUCUCAAGCCGCCGGCCUCUGCUCAUUCAAGCCAGCCGCGGCUCACUCUAAACCUCCAGCCUCUGCUCACUCAAGGCCGCGGUGUGUGACGCUGUUUCAUUGAGAAAUCGAAACUACUUUGUUUUUGCCUUCCAAAAGAAAACACGACUAGAAAUCAUGUUUAUAUCAUGUUUAUAAUGCAACCUGUCCUCCAACUAAUACGCUCGUAUAGGUCAUUUGUCCAAAUCCCUGAAAUACGACCCAUCAGAGCGUAUACUACAAUUGCGCCCCUAUCGGCAAAAGGUCGUUUUCAUAUUAAUGUUUUGUACUCUUUUAUUUGCACUUUGAUUUGCAUUUCGUGUAGCUCAGUUGGUAGAUUAUUGUGUUAUACCUUGAUAUGCAAUCAUGCUAUCAUGGGUUCAAUCCCAGAGAACGGACGUGCACGUAAAAUGUAUAUGCUCAAUAAAUCAUAAUUUAGCAUGAUUUCUGUGAGGGUU